UGACCCCUUUGCCUCGUCCUUUCUGUCGAAACUUAUCUUUAGCGAAAUGUGUAAUUCGUGGUCAACUAACCACCAUUUCACAGCAUUAAAAUCCCACCAGGUAGAGGCUAUAACCAGAACUAAUUUUAUUAGGUGAAACAAAGUAACUUACAAAUGUUAAGUAAACGUCAAUCUCCCCAGCAACUCAUGGAUGCAAAUAAACAAAAUUUCUUUAUAACAAAUAACGAGAUAAAAGUCCAUAUAAACGACGCAGGUACUGUAUUCGGAGAUCUGGCUGUCCAAACUCCACAAGACUUACAACAGUUCACAGCUGGCCUCACAGUAAAAACCACAACGAAGACCAAGGCCACACCAACAGCAAACAGAAGAGAGUAACACCACAGACAAAUGACGAACAUCACAACAUUGAUGUGUGGCUCCAUCCAGUGACAGGCUUUUAUAAAAAACUGUUUUGCAUAUUGUAAAAACAAAAUACUGUAAAACAAAAUAAAAUUUACUUGUAACAAAGAAAAACAUAUUAGUUAUCAACUUUUUC
rnacentral:lncRNA from 1 species